UACGAAGGGAGCUAGCGUUGUUCGGAAUUACUGGGCGUAAAGGGCGCGUAGGCGGCGAAUCAAGUCAGUUGUGAAAUCUCCGGGCUUAACUCGGAAAGGUCAACUGAUACUGUGCGGCUAGAGUGCAGAAGGGGCAACUGGAAUUCUCGGUGUAGCGGUGAAAUGCGUAGAUAUCGAGAGGAACACCUGCGGCGAAGGCGGGUUGCUGGGCUGACACUGACGCUGAUGCGCGAAAGCCAGGGGAGCGAACGGG
rnacentral:rRNA from 1 species